GACUAGAUUAUCUCCACUCGACCCACAUGAUGCAAAUUUUCUACUAGAAUGCCGAGUUCUUUCAGGAAAAGGGGGAAGAGUUGCAGGCCAGUCAACAACACCAGCUGCUGCCUGCUGCAGCAGGAUCACACUAAGGCAUCCCCUUCACCAUGCAUCACUUGGGGUUGCUCUGAGAAAUUGCCUUGCUUCAGGCUGAGUCCCUGCUUUGGGGCAACGGACCCAGUGCUGAAGAACCAGGUAUGACCAAGACAGACAGAAGAUUGCUGCCUUCAUGGAACUUUCUGUCCAGAUGGAGAGACAGCUAAUUAAACAGAAGCAUUGACCCCUCUGAAGACCACAAAAACCCCCAGAAUCAGCCACAGCAGAGAAGACCACAGGAUGACCAGCUGCAGAGAGGAGCUUCCCACUCCAGGGAUGAUCUGCCUGCAGAAAGAAACAACCCACUCCAGGGACUUCUCUCUGCUAAGAGCUGCGAAGACUAUGGGGUGACCAGCAGCAGAGAGGAGUCACCCACGCCAGAGCUGCCUCCUCUCUGCUGAGGGCUGAAUACUGGUCAGGACACCCUGGCUGCAGACAGGAGAUACCCACAGUGGGUCUUUGAGCUGUUCUGCUGCUCAAUAAAGCUCCUCUUUGUCUUGCUCA